AUUUAUAUAGUUUAAUAUAAAACAUUACAUUUUCACUGUAAAAUUAAAAUUUUUUAUUUUUAUAAAUA
rnacentral:tRNA from 1 species